rnacentral:rRNA from 1 species
GGGCCCGCACAAGCGGUGGAGUAUGUGGUUUAAUUCGACGCAACGCGAAGAACCUUACCAGGCCUUGACAUCCCUCGCAAAACUAUGGAGACAUAGCAGAGGUUAUCGAGGAGACAGGUGGUGCAUGGUUGUCGUCAGCUCGUGUCGUGAGAUGUUGGGUUAAGUCCCGCAACGAGCGCAACCCUUGCCUUCAGUUACCAGCAUUCAGUUGGGGACUCUGAAGGGACUGCCGGUGAUAAACCGGAGGAAGGUGGGGAUGACGUCAAAUCAUCAUGCCCCUUAUGGCCUGGGCUACACACGUACUACAAUGGCUAUUACAACGUGAAGCAACAUGGCAACAUGAAGCGGAUCACUUAAAGAUAGUCUCAGUUCGGAUUGAAGUCUGCAACUCGACUUCAUGAAGCUGGAAUCGCUAGUAAUCGCGGAUCAGCAUGCCGCGGUGAAUACGUUCUCGGGCCUU